rnacentral:sRNA from 1 species
GGAAGGAUCAUUAUCGAACAGAAUGUGAGAGGCAUGCGAGCGCUGUCGCUGACCCAAAAGUCGUGCACGCCCGAGUGUGUUCUCUCACAUGAUCAAUCCAUCUCACCCUUUUGUGCAUCACCGCGUGGGCACCCUUCGGGAUCGUCUCGGAGGGGGCUCGCGUUUUCACACAAAACCCCCCUUUUAAAAAAAGUGUAGAAUGACCUCAUUUAUGCGCUAACCCGCAAUCAAUACAACUUUCAACAACGGAUCUCUUGGCUCUCGCAUCGAUGAAGAACGCAGCGAAAUGCGAUACGUAAUGUGAAUUGCAGAAUUCAGUGAAUCAUCGAAUCUUUGAACGCACCUUGCGCCCCUUGGUAUUCCGAGGGGCACACCCGUUUGAGUGUCGUGAAAACCUCAACCUCCUUGGUUUCUUCUGGAGACCAAAGCAGGCUUGGACUUUGGAGGCCCUUUGCUGGCACCUCUCUUUUGAAGGCCAGCUCCUCUUAAAUGAAUUAGCAGGGUCCUCUUUGCUGAUCCUCGACGUGUGAUAAGAUGUUUCCAUGUCUUGGUUUCUGGCUCUGUCACCUUUGGGACCCGCUUCUAACCGUCUUGACCUUGCAUCGAGACAACGUUCGAGCAUGUCUCCCUUUCUCGGGAAGCUCCCUCGACCCCACGAACCCCUUGACCUCAAAUCGGGUGAGACUACCCGCUGAACUUAAGCAUAUCAAUAAGCGGAGGAAA